rnacentral:rRNA from 1 species
UACAGAGGGUGCGAGCGUUGUCCGGAAUCACUGGGCGUAAAGGGCGCGUAGGCGGCUCGGUAAGGUUGCGGUGAAAGCCCGGGGCUCAACCCCGGGUCGGCCGUGGCAACUGCUGGGCUCGAGCACUGUAGAGGCAGGUGGAAUUCCGGGUGUAGCGGUGGAAUGCGUAGAGAUCCGGAAGAACACCGGUGGCGAAGGCGGCCUGCUGGGCAGUGACUGUAAUGGUCAAUAGCUGACGCUGAGGCGCGACAGCGUGGGGAGCAAAUAGG